rnacentral:rRNA from 1 species
CAGCCGCCGCGGGAAUACGUAGGGUGCAAGCGUUAAUCGGAAUUACUGGGCGUAAAGCGUGCGCAGGCGGUUUGUUAAGACAGAUGUGAAAUCCCCGGGCUCAACCUGGGAACUGCAUUUGUGACUGGCAAGCUAGAGUGUGGCAGAGGGGGGUGGAAUUCCGCGUGUAGCAGUGAAAUGCGUAGAUAUGCGGAGGAACACCGAUGGCGAAGGCAGCCCCCUGGGCCAACACUGACGCUCAUGCACGAAAGCGUGGGGAGCAAACAGGAUUAGAUACCCGGGUAGUCCCUGUCUCUUAUAC